rnacentral:ncRNA from 1 species
GCGUCUUUCGCGGGAGAGACUGGCCCCUGACGCCGCAAGGCGAAGGGGCAUGGCGCCGAAGGAGCAACCGCCCCGGAAACUCUCAGGCCAAAGGACCGCGGACAGGCA